AGGGACCUGAUGAAUGCCCACACAUCUUAUCGUCCUCCCAACCCUUCCCCACUCUACAUUCCAGCUUCUGACUUCACUCCCCUGCAUUCUCCUACUGGGGCCCCCUACAUCCACUCUACCACCCCCUACUGUCUUCUCCACACAGCCAACUUGCAAAACGGAAAUCUAUGUCCCUCCCCUGCCAAAGCCCCUCUGCCUUCCAGCCUCCGAGUGAAGGUUACCAUGCCACUCGUGACCUGGUUCCGCUAAGCCCUCAAGGUUCAUCUCUUGCCACCACCCUCCAUUUCCACGCUUUAUGAUGAACUACUCCUUCCAAGAUCUCAAACGGAGUCUUUGGCCUCUCUCGGCCAGACCUCACACUCGCUAUCCCCCAAUGAGGCUGGUCUAUACUCCUUGUCCCGACAUGGCUGGCUCUAUUGUCUUUCAGGCAGAUGUCACUUCGCCCAGGAAGCCCUCCCUCUAAGACCUUUCAUCUGUGUUCUCAUGUCAUCUUUCCUCCCUACUGGCACUCUUGAGCACCACACAGAUUCCUAAUUUCCUAACUACCUAUUGGUGGUCCUCACAGAACUAGAACCACGUGGAGAUUGGCGGUUGUAUGUAUCUUAUUUACCAGCUGGUUCUGUGCAGGUGCGAGGACCCAGCUUUGUUUUUUUACCAGCUGAAUCACCUUGAACACUCAUUGGACCUCACUAAACCUCAAUUGACUCAGCUGUGAAAAACCUUCAGGCCUGGCUUGGGGUACCUUCCUGUACAGCUCAUGGGAAAGGAGAGGAGGGAUGAGCAGAUUCCCUGGGUCCUGCCGGCUUUACUGACUUUGGUUAUUAAGAAGAUAAUAUUCUGGGUCUCCCCGGAUGGACACACAUUAAAGCCACCCUGUUUGGGAAUAGACACCGAUUAAGUUCAGCUUAGAAUUACUCCCAUAA
rnacentral:lncRNA from 1 species